UACGUAGGGGGCUAGCGUUAUCCGGAAUUACUGGGCGUAAAGGGUGCGUAGGCGGACUGUCAAGUCAGCGGUAAAAUUGAGAGGCUCAACCUCUUCCCGCCGUUGAAACUGGUGGUCUUGAGUGGAUGAGAAGUACGCGGAAUGCGUGGUGUAGCGGUGAAAUGCAUAGAUAUCACGCAGAACUCCGAUUGCGAAGGCAGCGUACCGGCAUCCAACUGACGCUGAGGCACGAAAGCGUGGGGAUCAAACAGG
rnacentral:rRNA from 1 species